GAUCCUGGCUCAGGACGAACGCUGGCGGCGUGCCUAACACAUGCAAGUCGAGCGGAGACAGUGAGUAGCUUGCUAUGAGCUGUUUUAGCGGCGGACGGGUGAGUAACGCGUGAGCAACCUUUCCCAGACAGGGGAAUAACACACCGAAAGGUGUACUAAUACCACAUAAGACCACGGGAUCACAUGGUUCUGAGGUAAAAGAUUUAUCGGUUUGGGGUGGGCUCGCGUCCGAUUAGGUAGUUGGUGAGGUAACCGG
rnacentral:rRNA from 1 species